AACACUGUUAACCUGCGGUACCUGCGGAGGGAUCAUUACCGAGUUUACAACUCCCAAACCCCUGUGAACAUACCUAUACGUUGCCUCGGCGGAUCAGCCCGCGCCCCGUAAAAAGGGACGGCCCGCCCGAGGACCCCUAAACUCUGUUUUUAGUGGAACUUCUGAGUAAAACAAACAAAUAAAUCAAAACUUUUAACAAUGGAUCU
rnacentral:misc_RNA from 1 species